GAAGGGGUAGCUCAGUGGUAGGGCAUCUGCUUUGCAUGCAGAAGGCCCCAGGUUCAAUCCCUGAUGUCUUCA